AACGAACGCUGGCGGCAGGCUUAACACAUGCAAGUCGAGCGCCCCGCAAGGGGAGCGGCAGACGGGUGAGUAACGCGUGGGAAUCUACCCAUCUCUACGGAAUAACGCAUGGAAACGUGUGCUAAUACCGUAUACGUCCUUCGGGAGAAAGAUUUAUCGGAGAUGGAUGAGCCCGCGUUGGAUUAGCUAGUUGGUGGGGUAAAGGCCUACCAAGGCGACGAUCCAUAGCUGGUCUGAGAGGAUGAUCAGCCUCACUGGGAAUGAGACACGGCCCAGACUCCUCCGGGAGGCGGCGGUGGUGAAUAUUGGACAAUGGGCUCAAGCCUGAUCCAGCCAUGCCGCGUGAGUGAUGAAGGCCCUAGGGUUGUAAAGCUCUUUCACCGGUGAAGAUAAUGACGGUAACCGGAGAAGAAGCCCCGGCUAACUUCGUGCCAGCAGCCGCCGUAACAC
rnacentral:rRNA from 1 species